CAGCCAUGAAAGAGAGAGCAGCAGUCUCACCAAAGGAGGUGGGGAAAGACAGAGAGGCACACAAAGAGCCUGUGAAGCAACAGUCACUCCCAGGCAGGACUCUCAAAGAGAAAACAGCCUUGGAAGCAGGCAACCUAAAGUAAGGAGCACUGUCAAACGGCACAGCAGAUAACUACUCUACUUGUCAUCAAAAAAAAAAGAAGACGAAAACAAGCCUGAGGACCACACUAAGGAAAGAGCAGAAGAAAAGGCUCAAAAGGAAGGAAAAGGUCAAAAAGGAGUGUGAAGGACAACAGAGGAGCAGUGAAUUGGAUUUGUUUUUGUGUCAUCUCACUUUUCUUCAACUCCACAUGCAGACUGUCAUCUAUACCUAAGAAAUUACCCUUCCCAACCCUAAUCUUGACCUGACUGCUAAUCUCAGGCAGCGUCUGUGUACCUCCUCCUCUGGGUGACGUACUGCACGUUCCAAACUACAAACUAACACACCGACAAGAUAGACACUUCGGCUGGUUGCUGGGAAAGUGUCAUGCUCAUCACCGUCUCCUCCUCAUCCAGGGAUCUGCUUACUUCUGUUUUGUAGUUCCUGCCAGUUAGACUGGGCUUGGCUGAGUGUGCGUUUGAAAACAAGAGACUCUUACAGGAUGGAUGUCCAAGAAGAGAUGAGGAAUUAUCUGAACAGGAUAUGGGUUAAGUUGCAGGGUUUGCCCAGAGCCGACAGCAUAGAGCUGGGAACCUUCGUCAUCAUGUUAACCUUCAUGUUUGUGGUUCUGCUCAUGAUAGUGCUGGCCUGUGCAGCCUGCUGCUGCUGUCGCAAGACCGAGACAAAGGGAUCGAACGUCUGAGCAAAUGUGCUCCACACAAGGAGAAUUAUUUACAAAGGCAAGCUCUGGAUAUUUUACUCCCACCUCAGGCAUCUAAGCGCAGGAGAUGCUGCGCGCACACACACAAAAAAAUAAGAAAAACACAAGACCAGGCUUUCUCUGCAGGUCUCUCAAGCCCCAUGAAUUCUGCAGAAUCAUAGAAAAGUCCUGCCAUGGUUGUAGUAAUGUAAUUCAUAGAUAGACAUUCAGGAUCUAUUUCAGUGGAGCCUCAUACAGGGUGUGUUCAAUGGCACUGGAGAGACCCAACCCUUGAAAAACAAAGCUGACAAACACAGAGAGGGAUGUCCUGACUGACUGCCAGACACACCUGCCGAAGCUGCCAGGUUUUCAGGAGUAUCCACAUUCCAUGGAGCAUCCCUGCUUUGUACAGGGCAACAGCACUGCCUCUGACCUGAGGAAAAGGCAUGGCCUGCCCCAGAUGAGAUUGCAACUUUGAUAAUGCAAAAAUAAUACGCAGAAUAUGUGUGCUAAAAAAUAUGCUGAAUAAUUUUUAUAAAACUGCAGAGAAUCAACAGUGAAGCACAACUGGGGAAAGCCAAAUUAGUUUGCUAAUGUUUUUCUAAACCUGACCAUGUGUCAUUCUUAAGGAAUGAGAUUUGGCAGUCAGACUUGGAGUUAGGUAAGAUCCUCCUAAGGGGGAAGCUGUUUUUAAACCUGAAAGUGUUCCUUGACAGACUAGACAACAAAGCAUAAAGAGAGAUCAAGUCUGCCCUCUGCUGUACACAAACUGAAACAGCAUGUACAUAAUGAAAGCUAUGUUUUAUGUGUGAACCUGCAUGUUGUAUAUGUGUGAAUGAGCAAAGACAUUACGUAUCAAUGUAAUGCUUUGACUUCACACUUUACUCCUUACUCUGAAACAUUAAACAAAGAGUGAUUA